AUGACUGAGGUGAGUGAGCUCUGGGAGACAGUAACCUCUUCCUCCUGUAGUGCUGGCCUGCAUGUGUGUGACAUUUUGGACCCCCGUGAGCUGGACUUCCUCUCCUCUCUCCCUUGUCUCCAGACGGCUUGUCUUCCUGGCUCCUCUGGCAUGUACCUGGUGGUAGGACUCAGAGUACAGGAGCAGGUGUUCAGUAGUUCAGACAACACACAAACAUUUUGAGGAAUGCUCUGAAGCACUAGGCGAUUCUACCCAUCUGUGGAGCUGCUUCUUUUGCGUGUCUUCAGGACCUUUUUUCUCAAAGAAUGGGAAUAUUCAGACACGUGAGUGUAGCAGAAGAACCACUGAACUGACUGCUUGGUAAACCUGAAAACUGGAGUUUCUUGGACAAAUGCUUUGCAGAAUUGGCAGGCAUGAAAAAAUGUAUAUAUCUUUUUAAUUAUUAGAGUCAGAAGAGCACUGGAUAGAUAAUGCUGGGUUUAUAAAGUGGUACACUUAUGAGGGGAAUUAUGAAAUUUUGGAUGCUGGUACAAAUAGUUUCCUCAGCUGCAACUUCACAUGGGGUAAUAUGAAGACACAGGCCUGCCUGAGGACAGUGACGGACAUGUUGGUCUUGUUAGACUUGAUAUAGAAGCGAAAAGCCUCAGGCAAGUCAUAACCUCAAUGGUCAUAAGAAGGUCCAGUGCUGAAACUAAAAAACUAUAUCAGAAAUAAAAUCCUUACACCUAUUGGAAAUGCUUGCA
rnacentral:lncRNA from 1 species